rnacentral:lncRNA from 1 species
GCUUGUGCGCCGAGAGGUGCCCGUCAGGUCGCGGGACAGCUGUGCGGCGCGCGGAGCGGGGGGGGCGGCGGGGGGGUGGGGGGUCUCUUCGUGCGCGUCACUCGUUCAUGGAACGGGCGGUGUGUGCCGGGCACGGGGCCAGCCUGGGGACGCGGUGCCCGGGAGUCGGGCGCUGAAGCGGCCCCCGGGGUCUUGGCUUCUUGGAGGGACAGACGCGAAGUCGAUAAGGACACUGGUCUCGAUGCGUUUUUGGAGACCAAGCGUGGUGAUUCGGAGCGUGGACUCUGGAGCCAGACUCUGUCAGAUGGGUCCUAGCUCUGCCACCUACGGGCUGUGUGAACUUGGGCAAGUUACCGUAC